rnacentral:rRNA from 1 species
GAUGAACGCUGGCGGCGUGCCUAAUACAUGCAAGUCGAGCGAACAGAUGAGGAGCUUGCUCCUCUGACGUUAGCGGCGGACGGGUGAGUAACACGUGGAUAACCUACCUAUAAGACUGGGAUAACUUCGGGAAACCGGAGCUAAUACCGGAUAAUAUAUUGAACCGCAUGGUUCAAUAGUGAAAUACGGUUUUGCUGUCACUUAUAGAUGGAUCCGCGCCGCAUUAGCUAGUUGGUAAGGUAACGGCCUACCAAGGCAACGCUGCGUAGCCGACCUGAGAGGGUGAUCGGCCACACGGGAAGUGAGACACGGUCCAGACUACUACGGGAGGCAGCAGUAGGGUAUCUUCCGCAAUGGGCGAAAGCCUGACGGAGCAACGCCGCGUGAGUGAUGAAGGUCUUCGGAUCGUAAAACUCUGUUAUUAGGGAAGAACAAAUGUGUAAGUAACUAUGCACGUCUUGACGGUACCUAAUCAGAAAGCCACGGCUAACUACGUG